rnacentral:lncRNA from 1 species
GAAAAAUCCACCGCAAGAGGCAAACAACCACACAAGCAGACGCUAAGACCGUAAGAGAAGAAGACAGAGCUUGAAAAGGAAAUUAAAAAUAGUUACAGGAGAGACUCUGAACUAGUUGACACCGACAACCACCACCACACCGAGCUCAAAUAUAGAGAUCUAGAAAUAGACUUCCACCGGAGCAACUUUAAUUAAUCCACUCGGAAAAGGUCGCAAACAUGAUCGCUCGAGGAGAUCAUGAACCACGUUCAUCACUGGUAACUGACCUCGACCAAAUAGUUCUAGACCAUCAAAAAUCCCACACCUGAACCUGGCCCUAAAUUUUCCAAACCAUCCCAAACUAGAAUGUACCGAAAUCUCGGGUCCAGUAGUAUCCACCACGUUGUGAUGGAGACCGACCCCACUAAAACCUUCAGGACCAUCGCUAUGAGAACGACGUCAAGUGAGCUCUCACACUUUUUGUUUGUUCAGAUCUGCGACCUCCGAGACUAACUACACAAAGUACAAUAGAAAAAGAUAUAAGGAGAUCUGAACCGGCGAUGGCACUAAAAGAGCCGAGCGCUGCUCGUAGGAGAUCACAGAAGCCACACCUAAUUGAAAAAAAAAAUUGAAAUGAGAGAGAAAUGGUUUUUGAUCAAUUCACAUUGAUCUAAAUGCUUGCUUUUAGCCAAUAUGAAUUUUUUUUUGUUAUGGUUUUAGAGGCUUUUUCAUUGCACCAGUGUUAGAGAACUAAUGAAUUAAACAAAACACAAUUUCAAAGUUAACACACUGGUUCUCAAACAUCAUUUCCUCUCGUUCCAACAUCAAUCCUACGUGUUAAUUUUAGUUUCAAAACUUUUACAGGUUGGC